rnacentral:rRNA from 1 species
GACGUGGGGGGCCAGCGUUGCUCGGAAUUACUGGGUGUAAAGGGUCCGUAGGCGGUGUGGCAAGUCGGGAGUGAAAUCUCUGGGCUUAACCCAGAGGCUGCUUCCGAAACUGCCAUGCUGGAGUGUGGGAGAGGCGAGUGGAAUUGCAGGUGUAGCGGUGAAAUGCGUAGAUAUCUGCAGGAACACCCGUGGCGAAGGCGGCUCGCUGGACCACAACUGACGCUGAGGGACGAAAGCUAGGGGAGCAAACAGG